CAGGCAGCGGUGCCGGGCGUACGCGUGUGUGAGUAGGCUCUGUGUCUUUCGGUGCCAGGCACUCUCCGAGCUUGUGUGUGAAAACGUGUGAACUGAACAAUCUACACUACAACAAGAACAGUAUCAUUACCACUGGAUAAUUCGUGAGAGAAAGGAAUAGCAAUAAUAAAUCUUUAUAUAUUGAUAUAAAACAAUGCGGUGAAUACAAAGAAAGACGUAAAAAGAAAUUACAGAUUUGUGGGAAAAAAAAAGAAAGAAUUUUCCGUGUCCCUUCAGCCAGUGAACAGAAGACAACAGCCGGAAAAAAUGAAAAAUCCGGUCAGAUACGGAUAACUGAAUACGAGGUUCCGAUGCAACGAACGAGUGACCGUGACAUGACCAAUAAUAAAUGAACAGUGGCCAAAGGGAAAAGAAAUAGAUAAUAGAUAUAUAUGUAUACAUUGUUGGUGGUGGAAUGGACCGCUGGAUAUUCCUCAAGAGAAUGAUGGUCAAGCCUUCUUGAAAGACGAAGCGAGAAGAUAAAACACACUUAAG